UCUGUGUGUGUGUCUGUGUGUGUGUGUGUGUAUGUGUGUGUCUAUGUGUGUGUGUGUGUGUGUAUGUGUGUGUGUGUGUGUUAAUCCACACAGCUGUGCUCAGUUAAUUCAUUGAUCUGUUCUGCUUACCUGUAUCUGUUCCCGUAGCAACAGGGAGGGAAGGAGGGGUAACAUGACAUCAUCGGGGUCGUCACUAAUUAAAGGGCGAGCGGCUUUUUCCGUCAUUAUUAGCGUGUUAGCUUCAGCAUCAUUAGUGUGAUUGACCAGGUGUGUUUUCUCAAUGACCCAAUCCUCUGUCCUGAACCGAGGUUCUGACCGCCAAGUGGAGGGACGGGUCAAAGGUCGAUCCGUCCCAGAGGGGGGGCGCUGACUACGGGACACGACUCUCAGGUCGCCUGGGCAACGGCAACACAAAGAAGGAAAGAAAAGAUCACGAGAGACGAAGACACAAAACUUCACAAGACAAACUGGACCAGACCGGGUCAGAACCGGACCUGAGGAAGACUGCAGGUCCACGAGUCAGUCCAUCAGUCUGUCAUGUGUUUGUAGCUGCUGUUAGCUAAUGUUGGCUCAGGUUGUUAGCAGUGGUGGACGUCACAGAGACUACGUCCAGGUUUUAGACAGUCUGCGGGGACGUCACAGAGACUACGUCCAGGUUUUAGACAGUCUGUGGGGUCGUCACGGAGACUACGUCCAGGUUUUAGACAGUCUGGUGACGGUCUUAGUCCCGCCCCUGGUGCUUCGAUUGGCUCACUCAGCUGUCAGUGUGAUUGGCUCAUUAACAGGUAACGGACACGUCCAGUGGAAAAGAGGGAUGGGACUACAGGAAGUGAUGUCACAGGAGGAGCAGAGGCUGCUGAUUGGACGAGAGACUCUCAGACAGCUGCUAUAAAACCUGAUGAGAAGACGGAGAAACAGACAGACUGCAGACAGAGCUACAACUCCAAGUGUUGGACAGGUGAAGAUGCGUUCAAGGUGCAUUUUACCUGUCAGAAAAUCAGAAACUCUUCAUGAUUACACUGUGGAUGAUGCAUUCAGGUGUCUGAACAUGCUGCUGGAAACUCAAGGUCCCCAGCAGCAGCUGAUCUCACUGCCUAGUCCAGCAGCAGUCAGCCC